UACGUAGGGUGCAAGCGUUAAUCGGAAUUACUGGGCGUAAAGCGUGCGCAGGCGGUGAUGUAAGACAGUUGUGAAAUCCCCGGGCUUAACCUGGGAACUGCAUUUGUGACUGCAUCGCUGGAGUGCGGCAGAGGGGGGAUGGAAUUCCGCGUGUAGCAGUGAAAUGCGUAGAUAUGCGGAGGAACACCGAUGGCGAAGGCAAUCCCCUGGGCCUGCACUGACGCUCAUGCACGAAAGCGUGGGGAGCAAACAGG
rnacentral:rRNA from 1 species